ensembl:lncRNA
UUUACCAAACGGCUCACCUCCGCAUGAUGAAGAGGAGGAGUGGGCCACAUAGUUUGGCAUGCACAAGCACACCCUGCAGACAUGGCAAAGCUUAGGACACAGAUCAUGGAUUAUGUAGAGCUGUGUGAUAGUAACAUUGCUUGUGUGUGAAAGUUAAUGGAUUAUGUAAAGCUAUGUGAUAGUAACAUUGCUUGUGUGUGAAAGUUAAUGGAUUAUGUAAAGCUAUGUGAUAGUAACAUUGCUUGUGUGUGAAAGUUAAUGGAUUAUGUAAAGCUGUGUGAUAGUAACAUUGCUUGUGUGUGAAAGUUAAUGGAUUAUGUAAAGCUAUGUGAUAGUAACAUUGCUUGUGUGUGAAAUAUAUAACCCUUGUGGUUUGUGAGUAUCAGGGCUUCACUUUCAGCCUUGUGCUGGGGGUGAGCCCAAUUGCAAUUGUUGUUUGUCUAAUAAAUAUACUUAUAUGCAGCUCCGGAGUCCUGAGGUAACUAGGGUGAAUUUUCACCUAUCACUAUCUGAUCAGGUCUAUGGAUGGAUGAUUCUUACAGGGGUGAGGCAGAGUGGUCCAAUCAGACUAUCUGAUCAUGGAUGGAUGAUUCUUAAAGGGCUGCAGCAGACUGGUCCAAUCAGACUAUCUGAUCAUGGAUGGAGGAUUCUUAAAGGGCUGCAGCACACUGGUCCAAUCAGACUAUCUGAUCAUGGAUGGAUGAUUCUUGAAGGGGUGCAGCAGACUGGUCCAAUGAAAAGAAGGUUUGAGUGGGAAGCCUCAAGGGCUGGAGGCUAGCACUACUCCAAACUUUGCUAUGUAAAUGUUUUACCCCGUGGCUGUUGUUGUUCAUCCAGCCCGUACCUCGGUGCCCGUCCUGGCGCAUCCCUUUGGACCUGAAAUAGGGGCGUGUCCCUGUGUGGCCCCCGUGGUUUGGUGAACUUGGUGUCUUCUCAUCAAGAUGGGCAAUGAACCAACCGAGAUGAAGGCAGAGGUAGUUAGCCCGGGUUCUUACGGAUGCGGCUGACGGUGGACACUGGACACGCUUUCAUUGAACAUCAGCCAACACUUUCUCCUGCAGAAAUAAGCGUCAGCUUGUGCACAGGACUAGGAGAGACAUCUGGGUCAAAUUAGUGACUCUUCCCUUGUGUUUUCAACUAAACACUGAAUAGAUACCCUUAUGUUAUACCGCGCCCCUUCCGACCUGAAAUAUUUUGUAUUUUGUCGCAUCUUUUGUUGGCCUUGUAUAUAAAUGCUGUUGUGAACCUGAUGUCUGACUGUGCUGGUUAUUUGUAUUGCCAAUAAAGUUUUCGGAGUACAUUUGGCCGCAAGAAUAUUCUUUUUUUCUUUUAAUACCACACACUGGAGUUCACAUAAUCUCGUAAUGUACUUAUGCUGGAUAGCCUGGUUGUGUUACGACCUGCCAACUGGCGAAGCGACAAUUUGGACAACUAUGGUACCUCAACAUCACUCAGGCUGUAGUGUCUAGCCUAUAGCUUAGCUAGCCUUAGCUUAUAGCUCACCGGACCUCAAUGUCCACUUUAAAAAAAAAAAUGAAAUGUCAUUUCAACAAAACUCUCCUGAGUUUGUUGCAGUUUAUUUAAUUGCAUGCUCUAUAUGCUUCUAGAAUUGCUCUGCUCCUAAUUGUUUAGACCCUCAGAACAUUUGAAAUAGUUGACAGGGUCAAUGUAGUUUUCUGUUCCAUCCGUCAGCAUUUGUGAGCAAAGGUCAAGUUAUAAGAGAGAAAACUUGGUUAAUAGACAUCAAUUUGAUAAACAGAAAAGGAAGAUUUAUGUAAGCAAUUAACCGCAGGUAAUAUGGCCACUUUAUCAGCAUCAGCAAUAUGACAUAGAGGGAGAGGGAGAGAGACAGGCCCGCCUGGCAAGGUGUAUGGCAAUUUUAUUUUUGUUUAGUUUUGAUGAGUUAUGUUUAGUUAUGGUUAGGAUAGAAGGGUAGCAGGAUGUGUUGCAUGCUGUACACGGAAUCCGUAAAGGCAUUCCUUCAUGGUAAAACAUGCGCCGUCUCAGUUAUGUUGGCUGGCUUGGUGCAUAGGGAUUUUUAGUUAUACAAGCAGAAUAAGGGUGGCAGGAUACAAUAGCAGUGCACAACUGGCUGGUGACAGCCGCAACACGCGUCACAUGCUGUACCCGGGAUCCGUAAAGGCACUCCUUCACGGUACAAUAUGCACUGUCUGUAGCCAACUCCUGCUAAACACAACAACAUGACCAGCAAGACGAAGCAAAGAAUGUUUAAAAGGAGCAUUUGAUGCAUUAUUCAUGACUAUAGGAUACACUAAAGAGAAAUGUCUUUAGUCUCGAUUUGAUUAUGGAAAGGGUGUCUGCAUCUUGAAUGGAAGCAGGAAGGUUAUUCCAGAGGAGGAGGCUCGAUACCUGAAGGCUCUGCCUCCUAUUGCGCUUUUUGAUAUUCCUGGAAUUACAAGGAGACCUGCACUCUGGGAGUGAAGUGAUCUUGGUGGCCAAUAAGGGACAACUAAUUCCUUGAGGUAAUUUGGAGCUAAGCCGUUUAGGGCUUUGUAUGUUAGAAGGAGUACUUUGAAAUCAGUUGGAGGUCAAGGAUACUGAAUUCAUUUAAUGGUAUAUCCAGAGAUGAAAAAAAAAAAAUGGAUACAGGGGCGGUUAUGACAAAAUUAUAUUUACACAUCAAUCAAAUAAUAACUACAUACAAUAAAUAACUGCAAAAAGGCCCUCGUUCUAGAUCUCUAUCCAGUCAUCAUCGUCGACAACAUUUAGUGUCUGAAUGAUGAGGUUUCUUCAUUUGAAAAAGAAGCAACAUGUUAGUGAGAUAAGGUACAAUGCUCCUCUCCUCCUUAACCAGGGCAGGCGGUCCGUCUGUCACGCAGUAACUUGAGGUCUCAUUGGCCCAGAUGAUUUAUCCAUGACAGUUAGAAAGCACUCAAGUGACUCAAUAUCCUGCCCAUGAGAAACUACACACACAACCUUGUACAAAAUGUACCCUUAAAAGAACUGGCUAAAGAGUACCCUACCCCCAUAGAAAAGGAGCCGUCUGAUACUCAGCUUGUAAAUACUCAGAAAUGACUUACAUGUACAUGAUCAUCAAGCAGCCAGAAAGAUCCACAACACUCCUUUGUAUAAUUACAAAAUGUCAUGGAAAACCAGUUCUUGUAGGCCAUGUUCUAAGUUAUUACAAUGUACACACUUUUUUGUGAAAGUUUUUAAAAAUCCAUAUCCUAAAAAGACAAUAGGAAGUGCCAACUGUGCAGCAACCUUUUCUUUCACGAUGUAACACAGCAUAUCUCUUCUUCAGUCUUCCUAUACAUCCGGUCCGUCUGGGAUUCUUGGCCCAGCAGAGGAGUAAUUCCGUGGUCAAGGGGCCUGAAUAAUGAAGAAUGUUUGAAUGUGUCUUCUUGGGGUCUGCCACUCUCAUGUGCCCCUCUUCCAGUCCUCUCUGUGACAGUGGGAAUGUCUAUGUGGCCCACUGGUCACUGGUGUCAUUUCCACAUACUUUACAUUUACAUUUAGUCAUUUAGCAGACGCUUUUAUCCAAAGCGACUUACAUAUGUGCGACUUACAAUGUAUACACAUUUUACAUUUACACUGAUGGCACACUGCACAUCAGGAGCAAUUAGGGGUUCAGUGUCUUGCUCAAGGACGCUUCGACAGGGAAUCGAACUAGCAACCUUCUGCUUACUAAACAUACUGCCACCUAUGUCAAAGUGAUAUGAUUGUUGAUUGUUUAUUGUUUGUUGAUUGUUUAUCUCAGCUGCCACAGGGUCAACCGUCAGAGCAAGGGCUUUCAAUGGAUGACUCACCUUUUAACAUAAAACAUAAACAUAACAUAAAAGUGUUUCAUACAAAAUAAAAUGUAUAUAUUAAUUUAAUAAUUAAAAAAUGUAAGUCAUGUCAGUUCAAUGUCAGUUCAAUCAGUUUACAUUAAAGGAGCUAUUUUUUUCUAUUUUUGUAGUGUUUCAUUUACCUGACAAAACUAUUGUGAAAAAAAAACAACAACCUUAUUAAUUGUGGGUGCUCCAGUGCUAAAGUGCUGCUUAUCUAUAAGAAAAGAAUACAUUUCGCUGAGGUCAGUAAACAUGACAUCAAACCUCACUGGAAUGUUGUUACCUAGUAUAGAGAAUCUUAAUGUUAUUACUACUCCAAUGCCUCCUCUGUUCCCUAGAUCAGGGGUUUUCAACCGGGGGUCCGUGGCCCCCUGGUGGUCCGCGACGGCAUUGCAGGGGGUCCGCGACAUGAGCCUAUGUUGAUCAGUUCACCAUUGACUUUUUUUUAUUUUUAUAAAUAUACCUGGGCCCGUCGACAUAUUUAUGUCUGAAUAGCCAAGUCGCAUUGCCCAAAAUACUGAUGUAGACCCAUAUUCAGCGAAGAAAUUACACUGACAAGUAUUAUAGGCAGAAUAUGUUUGCGGGGGGAGGGGGCGUGGCGGCGGUUACAAACAUAAAAAAGGAGGGUUCGGGACUGUAAAAUGUUUUGGGAAUCACUGGCACAUCAGUGGGCGCGGAUUACUUUCUGGUCAGAAUGGUUGAAAACCCCUGCCCAAGAUGUAUUCAUUAUGUAGAAGCUUAAAGUGCUGCUUUUUUGCAAUGACCAAAGCUGACUCCGUCUCACAGAAAAGUAGAGAGACAGAGAGACUGGACACACACACACACACACACACACACACACACACACACACACACACACACACACAAAGGGUGAGACAUUUCACGUGCUGGUUCAGAGCAUAUUUCACGGUUUGGGAUUAAAACAAGCUGAAGAGUCAAGAAGGGGAAAAUGGACAAGGAGCAGCAGCACUUUCUAUUAGUUCCAUGGGCUGUGCAUUUCCCCCACUGCAUACACACACACACACACACACACACUGCAUACAUCCCCUUUCAAAUCCCCAUGACUGCUGCCACACUCCCACCCAGCUCCCCCUCCCCACACACACACACACACACACACACACACACACACACACACACACACACACACACACACACACACACACACACACACACACACACACACAGUCACACACACAUCACACCACAUCACUCAUCAGUGCUGCCCCGUUCCCACGCCACCUUAGCCUGCUCUUCCUUGCUACUAGUGAGCAGCAGUGGCUGGGAGAUCCUUCUGCCUGUAGUAGGCCUGGGGACCGGCGGCUUAAAGUCCUCCUCCGGGAUGCUGCACCCCUCCCACAGGUAAGGCUUGGGGGGCAGCGCUGGAGGCUCAUUGGAGGAGUUCCACUGCAGAUGAUGGUGCUGAUGAUGCUGGAGGAGGAAUCUGGGGUUGGGAGAAAUGAUGGGGGGGGGCACCCCAGGGGCGGCGGACUGGCUGCGGCAGGGUUGGGAUCUUGGGCUUGACUCCGACGAGACGUCUGGCUCAGACACGCUGUAGUGGUGCACGGGCAGGUAGGUGUGAGCCUCUCCAGCGUGAUCAGUGAUGCACCAGACCUUGGUGGCGGUGGCGGUGGCGGUGGCGGAGGCGGAGGCGGAGUCCAGUGUGUCGUCUGAAGGGUCCGUUGUGGGCUCCGAGGAGGAGGAGGAGGACUGGCCACAGUUGCUCUCGCUCAGGGAGGACACGCCACUGCUGCUGCUGGCACUGCCUGAUAGCGUGGAGUUACUCCCAUCCAGGCCUGCUGCUGAGGGAGGACUGGUGGGAGACGCAGGUGUAGGGGGC